rnacentral:tRNA from 1 species
UUAAUUGAAACCAAACAGAGGUAUAUCACUGUUAAUGAUAAAACUGAGAAUUUUCUCCAAUUAAA